rnacentral:rRNA from 1 species
GACGAACGCUGGCGGCGUGCCUAAUACAUGCAAGUAGAACGCUGAAGGAGGAGCUUGCUUCUCUGGAUGAGUGGCGAACGGGUGAGUAACGCGUAGGUAACCUGCCUGGUAGCGGGGGAUAACUAUUGGAAACGAUAGCUAAUACCGCAUAAGAGUAGAUGUUGCAUGACAUUGGCUGAAAAGUUGCAAUGGCAUCACUACCAGAUGGACCUGCGUUGUAUUAGCUAGUUGGUGGGGUAACGGCUCACCAAGGCGGGGAUACAUAGCCGCCCGGCGAGGGGGAGUGGCCACCCUGGGACGGUGACACGGCCCAGACUCCUUCGGGAGGCGGCAGGAGGGCUUCUUGGGCAAUCGGCGGAAGUCUGAGCGCGCAACGCCGCGUGCGUGAGGAACGUUUUCGGAUCGUAAAGCUCGGUUGUAAGAGAAGAACGAGUGUGAGCGUGGAAAGUUCACACUGUGACGGUAUCUUACCAGAAAGCGACGGCUAACUACGUG